CCAAUAGCGUAUAUUAAAGUUGUUGCAGUUAAAAAGCUCGUAGUUGAAUUUCGGGAUCAGUACGCUGGUCAUGCCUUCGGUAUGUACUGGUGUUACUGGUUCCUACCUUCUGACGAACCGUCAUGUCAUUAAUUUGGUGUGGCGGGAAAUCAGGACUGUUACUUUGAAAAAAUUAGAGUGUUUAAAGCAGGCUCGCGCUUGAAUACAUUAGCAUGAAAUAAUGAAAUAGGACGUUCGAUCCUAUUUUGUUGGGUUCUAGGAUUGACGUAAUGAUUAAUAGGGAUAGUUGGGGGCAUUAGUAUUCAAUUGUCAGAGGUGAAAUUCUUGGAUUUAUUGAAGACUAACUACUGCGAAAGCAUUUGCCAAGGAUGUUUUCAUUAAUCAAGAACGAAAGUUAGGGGAUCGAAGACGAUCAGAUACCGUCGUAGUCUUAACCAUAAACUAUGCCGACUAGGGAUCGGAUGAUGUUAUUUUUAAUGACUCAUUCGGCGCCUUACG
rnacentral:misc_RNA from 1 species